AGUGAACGCUGGCGGUAGGCCUAACACAUGCAAGUCGAACGGCAGCACAGUAAGAGCUUGCUCUUACGGGUGGCGAGUGGCGGACGGGUGAGGAAUACAUCGGAAUCUACUUUUUCGUGGGGGAUAACGUAGGGAAACUUACGCUAAUACCGCAUACGACCUACGGGUGAAAGCAGGGGAUCUUCGGACCUUGCGCGAUUGAUUGAGCCGAUGUCGGAUUAGCCAGUUGGCGGGGUAAAGGCCCACCAAGGCGACGAUCCGUAGCUGGUCUGAGAGGAUGAUCAGCCACACUGGAACUGAGACACGGUCCAGACUCCUACGGGAGGCAGCAGUGGGGAAUAUUGGACAAUGGGCGCAAGCCUGAUCCAGCCAUACCGCGUGGGUGAAGAAGGCCUUCGGGUUGUAAAGCCCUUUUGUUGGGAAAGAAAAGCAGCAGGUUAAUACCCCGCUGUUCUGACGGUACCCAAAGAAUAAGCACCGGCUAACUUCGUG
rnacentral:rRNA from 1 species